UCGGGGCCGCACGCGCGCUACACUGACCGGAUCAGCGUGUGCUCUCCUUGGCCGACAGGGUCCGGGAAACCCGUUGAACCCCGGUCGUGCUAGGGAUAGGGAAUUGCAAUUAUUUCCCUUGAACGAGGAAUUCCCAGUAAGCGCGAGUCAUUAGCUCGCGUUGAUUACGUCCCUGCCCUUUGUACACACCGCCCGUCGCUACUACCGAUUGAAUGGUUUAGUGAGGUCCUCCGAUUGGACCCGGUCCGGGCGGCGACGUCCGAGCCGGCGUCCGAGAAGACGAUCUAACUUGAUCAUUUAGAGGAAGUAAAAGUCGUAACAAGGUUUCCGUAGGUGAACCUGCGGAAGGAUCAUUA
rnacentral:ncRNA from 1 species